rnacentral:rRNA from 1 species
UGGGGAAUAUUGCGCAAUGGGGGAAACCCUGACGCAGCAACGCCGCGUGAAGGAUGAAGGUUUUCGGAUUGUAAACUUCUUUGAUGAGGGACGAACACAAUGACGGUACCUCAAAAACAAGCCACGGCUAACUACGUGCCAGCAGCCGCGGUAAUACGUAGGUGGCGAGCGUUGUCCGGAAUUACUGGGUGUAAAGGGCGUGUAGGCGGGAAAGCAAGUCAGAUGUGAAAUACCGGGGCUUAACUCCGGGGCUGCAUCUGAAACUGUUUUUCUUGAGUGUCGGAGAGGAAAGCGGAAUUCCUAGUGUAGCGGUGAAAUGCGUAGAUAUUAGGAGGAACACCAGUGGCGAAGGCGGCCUCCUGGACCAUUCCUGACACUCAGACGCGAAAGCUAGGGUAGCAAACGGG